UGGGGAAUUUUGGACAAUGGGGGAAACCCUGAUCCAGCCAUCCCGCGUGUGCGAUGAAGGCCUUCGGGUUGUAAAGCACUUUUGGCAGGAAAGAAACGUCAUGGGUUAAUACCCCGUGAAACUGACGGUACCUGCAGAAUAAGCACCGGCUAACUACGUGCCAGCAGCCGCGGUAAUACGUAGGGUGCAAGCGUUAAUAGGAAUUACUGGGCGUAAAGCGUGCGCAGGCGGUUCGGAAAGAAAGAUGUGAAAUCCCAGAGCUUAACUUUGGAACUGCAUUUUUAACUACCGGGCUAGAGUGUGUCAGAGGGAGGUGGAAUUCCGCGUGUAGCAGUGAAAUGCGUAGAUAUGCGGAGGAACACCGAUGGCGAAGGCAGCCUCCUGGGAUAACACUGACGCUCAUGCACGAAAGCGUGGGGAGCAAACA
rnacentral:rRNA from 1 species